AGAGAGAGAGAGAGAGAGAGAUUGCGUGACAAAUGCAACGAUUUAGGUGAAGACAAGGCAACGCGACUGAGGGAGGAAGACGACAACAGCGGAAUGAAUGAUGGGCGAAGUUUCGGAAAAAAUUGGUUACUUUCUGUUUAUUCGACAUAGGGUAGAAUAAUUAUUUUUUUAAAAAAAAAUUAUUAUGCGAGAAUUUUCGAAAUUGGCACUGUUUAGGAAAAAAAAAUUAAAAGUUAAAGAAUUUUUUUUAAAUUCGCAUACGUAUAAAUUGGAAGCCUAAAACCAAAUUGGAAGGAAACGGACGGCGAUGGCGCCAUUGGAAACAGAGAUCACGGUGCGGCUACCCGGUGCCCUCGUUCAUCCGACCUCUCGCAGACCAGAACCGACGCCCUUUUCAGAAAAGCUCAACGAGGUGAAGGCAUCCAUAGGAGAGCCGGUCGAUUUCGUCCUCCAUGGCGAGGUUAAAGACGAAGCGGACGACGACGGAUGAGGAACAGACGUAGGAGGAUGUAGGAGGGGAGGGCUUCCGAGAUCGCGAGGAGGAUGAGUGGUGUGUUGGUGGGAGCAGCAGAAGGAAAAGGGAAUUCAUGUCGAGCAUGCUUGAAUGGAUUUGCAUACAUAAAAAAGAACAUGUUGCAAACAGAAACUAAAGGGGAUGAAAGACCACCAUUGCAACCUUAAUGUUGAACACUGUUGUCAUCUUUUUGGGCUCGUAUCACUUCAGGCUUUCCAGCACUGGAUAUGAUUCUACCAUCUAUGCUCAUCAAACCUUCAAGAAGUUGAUUAAGCUUAAUGCCAAAUUCUCCUCACAUUUUAUCAUGUGGUAUCUCCAGUCUCCACCAACUCUUUUGACAAUCCAAUUGAAAUCUCUCUAGACGUUCAGCGAUAAAGGUAUCUGAUACUUACGUGAUUCAAAUAGCAUUUGGUCCUUUACAUCUUAUCUAUAGAUUCUCACUGACUUUGGUGAUUGGGCCAUUUGCUUAUGAUCACAUGAUAGUGCCAGACCAUGAAAUGUAUCUUUUGCCCCUGAACUUAACCUGAGGUAAAAUUAUUGUUGCCACUAUUUAUAUCCUUUCAUUUGAAAUGAAAUUAAUCUUAGUUCACACUGACCAAGUUGCCGAUGUUGCAUUUAAUUGAUUCUUGCAGCUUGAUAAUAGAAUGGUUUGACAGGGAAGGGGACAUGCAGAUUCCAUUCCACGUGAAGUGGGUCCUCGGUGGAAUCAGCAAGUGUUUGAUUAAGAUGGAUGAGUCUCAAAUCCUUAGGUAUGACUCACGUGUCUAGACUCAAAACAGGGUUCAACAAGAAUCUCAUCACUGCUAAUCCCUUGUUAACUCCAUAUGUGAGGAAAAUUUCAAACCCUUAUCCCAAUCAAGAAAGGUGUGGUGUGCCUCACAACAAACAAAAGGACAUGAGUGCUGUUUCGGUUGGAUUCAUGAGCAUGAGUGUUGGAGUUGAUCCAUUGCCCCAUGUGAAUCCUACGAUAUAUUAUGGACAGAAGAUUGAUCUCAGAUAUCGUACAUCCAACUUAUAUGUGCUAAAUAGCCUCCAAAAGAGACAGAUAGGUCUGUACUAUAUAGGAAUAACUUCUUAAGGACCCUAUCAAGUUUCACUAGCUGCCAUGUAUCACUCUGCUGCAUAUUUCUUGUAAUCAGAAUUCCAUAUUAUGAUUAUACCCAUCCAGUUACAUGUAAAUCCAAUGAUUUGAUGUGAUUUUUGUCAACCACCAAGUAUGAAUGUGGAGAAGCUCGUUUUUACUUUCACAUGAGAGAUUAGCUUUUUCCAUAAUAAUUCCGCUCUUCAUCUUGUAAUUUUGUUUCCAAUAAUAUUUUUAAAUGAUUUGUUCAGAAUAAUGUAACAUAUAGCCAGUUUGAUUAAUCUUUAUAUACUUAUACACCGGGGUAAACAAAAGAACUAGUUGGAGAACAUGCUAAUGAUAAAGACAGAAAUUCUAGAAAAAGAAAAGACAUUUAUCAUGGGCAAUGAUCAGGUUGAGAUGGAGCGUGGGAAGAUGCUGAGAACCACCAACGAGUCAAAAGAAGUGCUGCACUGUGGAUAAGGUUGAGUCUCUGGGUCCUCUCACAACUGAUUGAUCUUUGGCUUUCUCCAAAAGCCAAACAAUGCUUCAAAAGUCAUACACUAACUCCACUGUCAUAUAGGUUAUCUUUGUUAUGCAGGAAUCAAGUGCAGGAGCCAGGUUUGGCCCCAUCUUUCCUAUAGUUUGACAUCUCACACAGGCUACUGAAUGUUGACUAGUAUAUGUGUGUCUAUUAUAUGUUUUAAUGAGAAUAAUAGACUCUUUUUUGUCAGUCCUCUGGUAUGUGCAUCUAAACUGUACUAAUGCAUUUUAUUAGGCCAGUUGGUUCUAACAUGGCAAUCUACCAACCAGAGCCAGGCAUUGGGCUGGUGGUUGAUUCCCCUUCUUCCCUAUAGGAAGACCUGAGUAAUACUUUUGCUUGAGACUGCAUAUAGGACUGCUUGGUUAGGUGAUAAAGAUGACAGAGAUAUGCACAACAAAUGCAUAAGAAGUGUCCACAUAAAGUGCUAUCUGUUAUUUUCCAUGAUUUUGAAGUGGAAAGUAUGCUUUUCUGUAGUUGAGUUAAUAUGCCAUUUUUCUUCCAUACAAGUGUCAAAAACCCAAUGAAGAAUGGGACUGUUUCUUAGUGCAUUUCUAUGAGCAUAUAUUCUAUGUUUAUCCAUCAUUAUUGUGCUUAGCAAAUUAACUUUUGAACCUGGAACUACUGCACUUUGUUCAAGAAUGAGUUUAUUUCCUGAACAACAAUGGAAAGUCUUCAAUUUACUGAUUGAUCAUCCUCAGUCAUCUUUGGUUGGUUACAGAAGGAUGCUGAUGAAUGAAUUUGUCGGAAGCGGUGUUACUGCUGAGAACUAUGGACAGAGGUGGUAAACAGUGGAAGAGGAUAAAUAUGCCUGUGGCACUAAUAGAUCUGUGGCUGACCAAGAGUGAUGUUGACCAUGGAGGAAAGUGAUCCCGAGCUUGCAGAGCAAGUCUCAACAUGUCCAUUAACAUGACAAAGGUGCAUUCGCAAUGUUUUCUAACUUGUUAUGUUUCUUGUUCUCUUUCCUUUUGUUAAUUUUCCAGACAGGAAUAAAUAAAAGCAAACUUUCCAUUUGUAUCUGCCUCUUUUUGUGGAUCAAAGAAGUCUUAAAGUUCCAAAGGUAGAUUACUAAGCUAUGAUAGCCUCGGAUGUUCUGCUCCUUUAGUAAGUUUCCUUUUCUAGUAUUAAUAUAGCAGUAAUGUUAUUAUUCUGCAUUAACAUUUUACUCAAUCUUACAAUGAAAGGAAACACUUUUUAUUAUAAUGUACAUACAUACAAUCAUAAAGUCCAUGUGCUGAUAUCCAAUUCAUAAAGCUAGGAUAUACUUUGACAGUAGCCUGUGGACAAAGGUGGAGGCCCUUCUUUGUUUAGUGUUGGCAUAGUAGGAUGGUUAGAUUCCUUAACCUACAUCUGAGUCCCUUGCUUGCCUUAGAAUCUAAUGGUCUCAACAAUGAUUAAAAUGUCCUUAAUGCUAUGGAAUUCCUCUGGUUGGAAGACAGCCACCUCAUACUCAACUAGACCACACUUUAAGCAUGUCCUUAUCUUCUUGGGCAGCUUUAAUAUUCUCCUUUAGAUGAGGGGAACCACAACAGAGAAUCCAGGCAAUUGAUGGAAUGACACAACCUUUCCUUCAACCAUCAUCUAUAUCCUGUAGAUGAGGAGACAAGUGAAAUGGAAACCUCUCCUCUCUAUGUCACAUCAUGGACCUUGUAACAGUUCUUCUUGUGUUUAUUCAGUCACCAGAAAUACUAUGAUUCACCCAAAAUAAGGGAAGCUAGAGAAAUAUCAUUUCUGUCCAUCUUUCUCAAGCGUGGGUUUGUUUUUUAUUCUUAGGGUCAUAACAAUUUCAUCUACUUGAAUCAAAAUGUGUUCAUCACCUAAUAGUUUUGGUUGGGUGUCAAGGGAAUAAUAUAAUGGAGGCAAGAAUUUACACAAUAACAUCCAAAAAUGUUGUGCAAAUAAUUUGUUAAUACACAUUUUUUGUUUUUGGCAUUGUACACGUGGUUAAUCUAAACUAAAUACUUGUAAUAGAUAUAGCUUCUGUUAAAAUUCAUAUAUGGUUCAGGCAUUAAAAUUAUGAGAACACGAGCGAUUAGAUCUUGUUGUCAUCACAAAUUUUAAUUGUUAUCAAGAUUCUAAAGAUCAUCUAACAUUUAAUAUAAUUUUUUUUUCGUGUGUAAGUUGCCAUCUCCUACAAAUAUGAAAUUGAUACGAAAAAUCAUAAGAACAUAUUUUUAGUUGUUGAUCCAAUGAAUGUUACAAAUGAACACAACCAAAAUAUUCUUUUUUGUGAUUUCGACAAAUAGUGAUGUCACUAAAUGAACCUUUUGUAUUUUUUUUUUCUUUUUGUGUCUAACAAAAAGACUUGUUAUGUUGUCACAUUACUAUGACAUAUUUUGUUUAGAAUUUAUUGGUACAAAUGAACUCAUGCACUUGUUAUGUUGUCUCCCACCCUUUCAAACAUGUAAUGAUUCUUAUCCUUGACGUGACUCAUCUCAUAGUCAUGUUUCAACGGCUUCACAUCCAUUAGGAAUCUACACCAUAUCAAGUGUUUCUUUCUGAGUCAAAUUUCUUUACCUCACAAGGAGGGUGUUCAUUCAAGCUAUCAUCCUUAAAGUUUAUAGCCAAAUUAUGUAAGAGUUGUAUUGAUUAGUUUCCUUUUAAAUUAUUUUCAUGCACUUACGGAGGAAAUAACACCGAUUACUUUUCAUGAUUCAUGAUAUCUUGAUCUUUGUACAACGACAGGUGGUCACUCAUUCAUGUCUCCUACUUCACUAAAAAAGAUGGAAGCACUUGCUUGCAGACUAAUGGUGUGGAAAUGGAGAAGAUGAGGGGAGAGGCUGAGCUGUUCUUGGACAGCACAAUGUCCACUCUCUCCUGUUCAUGUGGAAUCUGAAUCCAACCUAUCAAUCAAAGUCAGAUGAAAGAUAUUGUGGUCGCAAGCAAAGAUAAAAUGGUGGUCCAAAUCAAAAGGCUUCUUCUACCUUCCAUGCACAGGUUGAGCUUUGUUAGGGGUUGACCGCAAGUACCAACAGAAGAAGAUAAGCCUUCACAGCAUGUGCAUGCACAUACUAUUAAUGAUGUUACCAAGAAAUGAAGUAAAAUGCAACUAAUAAUGUUACUAAAGAUUUUGAUUGGAUGAUCAUUUGGAAAAAAAAAAUUCAUGAUAUUUAUAAGCAUAACAUUAUCUUUCAUGUGC